AGCCAUUCUACACAUAUUUUUCACAUUUCAAACUAAAUUUUUAGACAGAACUACAACAAUUAGAAUAUUUAUUCUAGCAUCAUGUUGAAUACAAAAAGGCAUAAUUUGCACCAAGGUCUCAAGUGUUAACAUGCCUUUUAACAGGAAAUCCAUAGAACAGAAUGUGAUUUUUAUUUAAGUCAGACUAGUUUUAAAUUUUUGGAAAGUUUCUCAUAUGUAGUGCUUGGAGAUGGUAACGUCUAUCGGUGUAUACUCAGCUUUAGAAAAUUUACGGUAGUUCUGAUCUGUUAUUUGGGAGAGUGAUAAAAACAAUGUUCUAACAUUGACAUUUGAACUAUAUGAGUAUUCUAGUAAUUAUCUGACUGUAAAUGUGGAUUUCAAUUAAAGGUCAGUCUUUAUCAAAGUUUCUAGGAAAUCUACUAUGGGUAAUAGUUUAUUGCAUACCUCUC